CAAAGUCGUCGUUUCCUUUCAUUUCUGGCCUGCCACGUCUUAACCAAAUUAGCGCGUUUUCCAUUUUUCUUAAUUAUCGCUUACUUUUAUUUAUUUAUUCUUUCAAAAUAUUCAACCCUUUCUCUUUAUGAAUAUUCAAUGAACACCAACACGUCACGCCUAUCUUUAUUGUUUUUCGAGUUCAAAGUCAAACCUCAGGCUCAUAGUCGUAAAUUCUCACCCACUUCUUUUUUUUCUUCUUUUCUCUUCAUUCUUUUCUUUGCUUCUCGCUUCUCUGUACAUAGGUAUGUUUUCUCAUUUCUCACUCUGAAACUUUUCAACUUUUUCGGUUUCUUGUUUAGUAAUUUGAUUAUUGAAUCGUUUAAUCGAAUUCGAAGCAACCUAUUUUGGUGCAGAGGCUUCUGA